ACCGUGACUUAGUUACCGGCGAUAUUAUCUUAGUGACAUGGUGCUAGAUUGCUUUCAUCAUAAAGAUGAUCAUCAACUGUGAUAUCCUUGCUUAUUAAUGUAAAGUCAUUGAUUUGAGAGGAAUUGAAUAUUUUACGAUUUAAAAGCAAAAAAAAAAAACCGAUAGCAGAAAAUGAUGAGUCUCCUUCGUAAAAUUUCUCUGAAAAGAGUCACAAUUAAGCUAUAGGUACAUAAAAAUUCAUGGCAAGAUUUGGAAAAAAAAUGGUUUUGUUGUUUAUAUUUUGUAUCCAAAAGCAUGUUGAUAACAAAAAUAAUAUAAUUUUACAUAUUCUUUAUAUUACAUGAUAGUAUCAAUUCUCGAUGUCUUUGCAUUUUAUUCUUGAAUUGAAAUGUCCCAAACUCGUUUUAUUAUUUCAAGGUGUAUGGAUUAUGAACGUAUUUAUAGAUCAUGUCUCUCGUUAAUUCUGGGAUACAAUUUUAGGAAAAUCAUGUAAGCCUACAUCUAAUUGUAAUUCAUAUCAAUUUGACAUUUUAUUUGGUUGUGUGAAUUGAAUUUUACCACGUUUGUUCAAAAAGGUUUGUCUGUUGCACACCGUUUUAACUGCCUAUAACAAUGGACCACGUAACAUUCCAUGUUAUUUUUCUUUAUCAAUAAUCAACAUCAGUGUUAUUUUUAUUUUGUUAUUGAUAAUAUUUGUUGAUUUUAUAUAAAUUUACACCGCUAAACGUAUUGCAUUUAUGUUAAGUUUAUACAUUACAAGAAAGCUACAUAAACUUAAACAUGGAUUUGUUUGAGUGUCUUUAUUUAUCACCAUGCUCCUUCUUUUACUUUUAUACUUGUUAUUUACCGAUAUGUAAUGUAAUGUCUUUGGUGCCCGGACUCCAUUGUAGACGAGGAUAUCUAGAGGCGUCUAGACAAAUGGCGGAGGAAGUCGAGGACUCCACGUAGUCUGUGUACCCGUCUCUUUGAAAGUAGGCCAGCUGAUUCAGUUACAGUGACGCGGAAGCUGUGGUACAUAUCCGGUAGUAGAUAACUUUACCCCAUCACCAUCGCUUUAAUAUAGUGACAUAUAUUUAGGAUUUUUUUCAGGAAUUUUUUCAAUUUUUUACACUACUCAUUGACUAUUGGUUGUGUGUUUGUUUGUUUUGUUUUUUGUUUUUGUCAACACUUUUAUACAAUAUAUUACCUGUGAUAAUAUUGUUAGUGAUAAUACAUUAUUUAAAUAAUGUGUACAUGUUCAUGUUUGUUUGUGUUUUUUAAAAUCAUGGUGAUUUUAUAGAAAUUUUAUAAUUGCACAAUUGAUAAUUCCAUGCAGUUCUAUCGUAGAUAUGUCAAUACAAAGGAAUUAGCAGAUUUUGUGUGUUUAUUUCACUCCGUCCAGAUUACAAAGUAAGCAAUUUAAGGACAUUAUUUAUCUUUAUUUUGAGUUUCAGGAUAUAGGUUAUACGUUGAAAAAAAACUGUGUAUAUUUUAGCAGAAUAAAUGGAGUUAAAUCCA
rnacentral:misc_RNA from 1 species